rnacentral:misc_RNA from 1 species
AACGCACAUUGCGCCCCCUGGUAUUCCGGGGGGCAUGCCUGUUCGAGCGUCAUUAACAACCCUCAAGCUCUGCUUGGUAUUGGGCACCGCCGACCCGGCGAGCCCUAAAAUCAGUGGCGGUGCCAUUCGGUUCCGAGCGUAGUAAUUCUUCUCGCUUUGGAGGCUGGGUGUGUGCUUGCCAGCAACCCCCAAUUUUUUAAGUUUGACCUCGGAUCAGGUAGGGAUACCCGCUGAACUUAA